GUGCACCACGCCGACACUCCGGUUGUGAGUGCGCCGUCCGCACCCAGCUGACGCUGCGCGCUACGUGCUGUUGGCC
rnacentral:sRNA from 1 species